AGCAGUAGGGAAUCUUCGGCAAUGGACGAAAGGUCUGACCGAGCAACGCCGCGUGAGUGAAGAAGGUUUUCGGAUCGUAAAACUCUGUUGGUAGAGAAGAACGUUGGUGAGAGUGGAAAGCUCAUCAAGUGACGGUAACUACCCAGAAAGGGACGGCUAACUACGUGCCAG
rnacentral:rRNA from 1 species